rnacentral:piRNA from 1 species
UGACUGCUACUUGUUACUUUGUCCC